AAAAUGAAAAGAUAUCAAAAGAUACUAUGAUUAAAAUAUUUUAAAAAUUAUAUUUAUUAUUAGUCUAAAUUAAAAUAUAGUAUGAAUUUCUUUGAAUAAGUCUAUUAGGUCCAUUUUAAAAAAAAUCACACAUGAAUCAAGGUUGUGACUUCUGGUUUAAUAUAUAAAAUAUUACGUUUUCAGCUGAAUUAAAUAAAACACAUAAACAAAAGCUUUUAAUGGUUGUCUCUCAUGUGGACAAGCAGAUUCUUGAAACUUCGGGACUCUUAUUUAGAAUUUUUUUCCUAUUUUCAGUAAGCACAUUAAAUUAAAUGAAAACGAAUUUGAAAAGUCAGAUAACUUGGAUCCGUUUACUCAAUUUGGCGGCAAUUUGCUAGGCUAAAUUAGAACAUAGGUCAUAAACGCUAAUCCAAACCGUUAUUCAUGGCCGAUUAGACCGGACAUAUUGGAUUGGACUUUUUGAUGAGGACUUUUUUUUUUUUUGUGAAACUGAAAGAUGAGGAUUUUUAUUUUUUAAAUUAUUGAUGGGGUUGAUUUUUCAGAAUAUAGUUUUUUGGGAUCAGAAAACUUGUGACUGAGUUCAAAAUGAAUUUUCUUUUGUUUGCUUUUACUUUAAACCAAUUUAAGUUUAAUCCGUGAAUCACUAUCUAAUUUUCUGAUAGUGGUUUCAAAUAUUGGAUUUUUUCUUUUUAUUUUAUAAAAAUAUAUAAUUUAUAUCAGAUAAUAUUCUUGUAACUUAUUUAACUUACUUAAAAAGUAAAAUCGAACUUAGUUUGUUCAUCAUAUACUCUUUUUUUUAUAAUACAAAUAGUUUCAAAUUUAUUUUUUCUUAUUUCAAAAUAUAAGUUGUUUUCAUAUAAAAUGCAAUUUGGCAUUUAUCGGUAUGGUGUGACUAUGAAAAUCCAUAUAUACUCAUUUAUGAUUAGUUCAGUUAUAUAUUAUCUAUGUAUUAAAUAAUAUUCCAUCUGUUCUUAAAAAUGUAUAUUUAUGUGUGUUUUACACAUAUUAAGAAAACAUAAAAAUUGAUAAUAAAUAUAUUAUUUUCUGUAUUUAGUUAUUUUCCAUAGUUCUAAGCUAAUAAGUAUUCAAAAGUAGUUUUUUUUUAAGUUUAUAGUCCACCAUUAUUAACUAACAAAAUUGCAUAGAAAAUUCAAACAUGUAUUUUGAAUAAAUUUUUUAUGUUAAACAUUUAUCGUGUAUUUUUUAAAAAUCAUAUAUAUAUAUAUAUAUUUUUUAAUUUUUGUGGUUUUAGCUAAAGUUACUUGUAUCAUGAAACAUAAGACGUAUUAUUUUAAACAUAAAAUAAAUUUUACAUGUGUUUAUUAUAUAUUAUAUUACUCUUAUUUAAUAAAACAAUAUUUCGCAGUGUUCCAAAAAGCAUUAUUUCGCAUGAUAUCACACUAUAUAAAAUAUUCUAAAAGCCCAAUAUUUUCAAUUUAAUGUGUAUUUUCUACACGUUUUCGCUUUUCAUGUGGAUUAUAUAUCAAUGAAGCACGAGAAUUACCAAAUUUCUGGUUAUGUUUUAUUUUUUCCUUUUCUUCCAAGUUUGUAACUGUUUGCAAAAAAAAUUUUUUUGUAACUGGAUAAAAGAAUACAAUUAUUCCGGAAAACUAUUAUGAACUUCAAAUGUGUCAAAACACCCAGCAUGUGACAUUUUACGGUUUUAGAUAAAUCUCAAGAAGUUGCCAAAAGAAACUGAUAUAGAUACUUUAGAGCUUCAGAUUUAGUUACUGUAUACUUUAACUAUAUAUAUACCUGAAUCAUUAAGAAUCUUUUCUGACCUUCAUACGUCCCUGAUACCCAAUAUUUGCUUCAACAAAAUCCUUUUUUUUUGACGAAUGCUUCAACAAAAUCUUCUUUGUCAACAAGUAUGUAUAAUAUGUUCAACCAGGAUAUGUAAACUAGUGAUUAUUAUUUAUGUGUGUUUAUCAAUACUUUGCUUUUUGUUGAAACUGAUUAGUGAUAAAUUACAUCAACGAAAGUGAAAAAAAAAUUCUACACUAGAAAUUAAACGAGAACACGUAUAAAACGAAGAAAUUAGCAAAUUUAAAUAUGUUCUUUCUUUAUUAUCUUUGUUAUUUUUGUUUAGAUAGCCAACUUUGACGAUUUUCUUGAUUAUAAAACGACAAAAUUCUCAAAUUUAAAUAGGUUCGUUUUAAUUGUCUUUGUUAAUUGUCUAAGUUGAGACCGAUGUUGCACGAGGUUGAACUGCAUAAACGGAAGGCCAAGCAGACUAAAACUAAGUAUCCAGAAGACACAAUAGAUCUUCUACGAGAUAAACAAAUAAACUUAAAAACUACAUUCUAAUAAAAAAUCUGAAUUCCAUCAAGAGAACCAACAUAACUCACAUAACUGAAGCCUAUCAGCUACUAAAUUUGGCAACAGAUCAAAACACGAAGGAAAGGAUCCAACCACAAACAUUAACCACUAGUAGUCGCCUCAAAGAUCAGUUCCAAAAACUGAUAUUUUCUGUCAGAAAAAGGCUGAAGUCAUUUUCAAAAGAUAAAUUUAUAUCAACCUGCGUAUUAGAAAGGAGACAUGGAACAAGAUUAGAUUUUUUUUUCAAUCGUUAAAAUCACUAUUGUCAAACCAGACAGCCGGAAAGACCACAUCAUCUUCUGACAUGAAACUCCAAGAUUCCCUCUAGACUCCUUAACUAGAAGUUUGUAAGUUAAUAAAUCCUCCAGGUCGAGACUAGAGCAUGUAAUUUUAGAAUCAUCCUAAGCAUCACUCAAUCAUGUGACCUCUAGACUUUGGGGGUGAUUGGUUGGGUUGCAACAAUAGAGAAUUUACUUUAGAAUUUAGUCUAUAGAAUUUUUUGAUCUAAUUUUAAUGGAUGUAGCUUUAAAAUUUUCUAUAGCUAAAAAGAUGAGACUUAAAAAAAAUAAGAUUUUUAUAGCCAUUUAUUUUGUUUUUUUGCUGUACUUUUAUUUUUUUUAGUUGUAGCUUUAAAAACUAAUAUAAAACAUGAUUGGUGCUUUUUAAAGCUGUAGAUAAAAAUUAAAUCUAAAGUCACUUCUUACAGCUCAACCAAUCACCCACUUUGUCUUCAGUAUUUUCCAUUUGAGCUAAUGGCAUUUGGUAUGUAAAAAUGGAUACACAUCUAUGGUGAUGAAAUCUGCACAGCUCAAGCAACAAAGGAGGGUACAAGGGCACAUAGUUUACGCACUAAAACGCCUAAUUAAGCAUGAAUAUAGUUCCUUUUCUGAAAACAUAAACUAUUAUUUCUUAAUAAUACAACUAUAAAGAGAAUAUGUUUGUAAUUGGGGUGUGAAAAAAUGUGACUCCUAUGGCCAGUGAGAUUUUUAUAACAACAGUACUUAAAAGUCAUAUAAGACUCAUAACUCAUGAAAUCAAAUCCUCAAUGUCGACGAUGUAUUGUAGUAAUCAAGUGAUAGUUAUUGAAUUGGAUUGAAUUGAAUUUAAAUUGACUUGACCGAAUAAAAUAUAAGUUUUUUUUGGUGCCAAAUCUAGAAACCAACAUUAAAAUUCAGUCACGAGUGAUAUGGUAUGGCAGUAGAAUGUAGAUGUCGGCACCAUUUUUAUAUCGACACGUGUAAAGGUCAGGUUCAUCGACAUUAUAUUAUAUUGUUAACAAUAAAAUGAAGCCCAUUCAACUACUUUUGGGCCUCCUCUUUCCCUGUCUUAUCUGAAGAACAUUCAGUUUUCCACUCUUACUCUUACUCUCACUCUCACUAUCAUCCUCUCACUUACUCAGUUAUCAUUAUCACUAUCAUUAAAUAAUCAUUAUACUAUUAUUUUUUCCUUUUCCGAUAAUGUUAUGAUCAGUCAAUCAUCACGAUUUUUAUUUAUAUCGGGGCUAAGUUUGUUUCUCUUGUCGACAUGCUUAUAAACGUUUUAGAUUUGAUUUAUUUAGAUGGGUCGUAAGUAGUGAGAAAAGUUAGGCUAUGUAUUAACGCACUCCUUUUAAAAAAAGAUUAACGCACAUCCAAUUAUUUUUUUCUUUGCAAAUUACAUCUAUGAGAUUUUACUCUCGUUUUGGCCUAAUGUGGGGGAUUUUAUUAUGGGAAUUAUCUAUUAGAUCAAUAUCAAAUUGUAAAUAAUUAUAAUGGAAUCGGAGACAAAUUUAUUUUUGAAUUUAACUACAUCGAAUUGUUUUAUCCUCGAUUAGAGCUUAGUUAUAAGAUUACGAAAACUGAAUCAAAAGCAAGUUUAAACUAAUCUAAACUUCAAAAACACUACAAAAAUUAUGUGCAUAACGAAGUCCGUUGACGUGGCAUUAAUUUUUUUAAUAAGUUAUAAAAGUUUUGAAAAUCAAAAUAUAAACUACAAAAUAGAAUAUAUUAAAAUAUAUAUUUUAAAAUACAUUACAAAACAUAAAAUAUUAAUAUUUUUUUUUUAAAAUACACAAAUUAGCGGUUGAGACCCUGGAAGAAUUCCGAGAUAGUGAUAUCGGUUCUUCACUCCAGUUUGCUGUGCAUUGAGGUAGAUAUGAAAUCACAAGGUUGUGGCGCCUAAAGUCCAGGAUCACUUGCUUCUCCGGAUUCCUAACAGCGAAGACAUCUAACAAACUCCCCAUAGAUUCUAAGCGCACUUUUGUCGCUUCCAAAGUCGUAUGGAGCUGAGACAAAUCAUCCCAUCUCUAGGAAUAAAACGAUGUUUCCCUCGGGACAUCGUUCACCGACCCCACCCUUAUGUUCGUCCAUUUUGCGGAAAACCUUGAAAAUGAACAAAAAAGAUUGAAAACUAGAUAUAAGAAACACAUAAAAUAAAUUAACAAAUAAAUAAAUUCUAAGUAUUACCUCCUCAAAAAUCUUGUCUACAUCUUGCAUGAACAACUGAACCGGUAUACCAUCCAAAGACUGUUAAGUCAGCUGGUUCUGGCACUUUUCGAUCCGAGCAGCCACUUUGUUGUGGAUCCUUUCAGCUUGGAAUCCACAAAAUCUCCGGUCUUUGUCAUAUGGGUAGCCUCAAAUAGUCUGGAAAGAGAAGGUAGUUCUCUUUACUUUGAAGCCUUACAAAAAUAAAUUAGAUUAAAGUAAGAUGUGCUAAAUAGAUGAUAUUAAUUUUAAGUUACUUAUAAUUUGUAGGUGGAAGAUGGCGUGGGGGAGUCUGUCUCAUCAUGUGAAGCAUCGACAAAAGUCUGUGUGGACCUCUCGUUAUAUGGGAAGUGGAGCACUGCAUGAACACACAGAUCGAAUGACGGUCGAUCCAGUAGCAAAAAUACCAUCCCAUACGACAUCCUUCGUGAUGUAUAUCGGUUUCGUCUCAUCGCCUUUGUACUUCCAAAGCUCCUUCCAGUCAGAUAUGGUGUUUGCUAACUAUAUCUCCGCCUCGGUGUUAAAUGCCGCCUUCACCUUCUUGUUGAUGAAAAUAGACAAAUUCCUUUUUUUUUUGCCGCCAAAGAAAUAAACAAAAAUAGCUACUGUUAGGAAAAAUAUAUGUAAAUAUUUUUUUCAAAAAUAUAAAACCAUGUAGUGCGGAUGUGCUUAGGCAUUUAACUCCAGUUUGGGCGUGGUUUGACGAAAUAUCCCUUCAUGGUUUCAAAUAUGCUCUCUGCCAUUCUAAGUCGACUCCAAACCUGCAAAAUUAUAAGAUAGUUGUUAAGAAAUUAUAUUCACUAUAAAUUUAAAUUAAAAAAUAAAACGUACUGGUAAGUGUUUGGCAGUCGAUCGGGGUCCAAUACAUCUUAACCUUUUCAUCUAGGUUGGGUGAGAAGAUCCUUGACGAUGUACCGAGCAUAUUGAGCUUCAGGUGGCACCAUCAAUUUUAGAUAAAGUCUUGGAGCACCAUGAGGCGUAUCGGGAGCAUACGAUGGUGCAGUAGGAGCAAAAUGAGGCCCAUGAGGAAGAGGCGGUGGUGGUGGAGAUCUUUGUGAUUGACUGUCUGGGACAGUCUCUGGAACUGAAGUAGGAGCCGAGGAACUAGACCCCACUAUAUCUCCGGUACUAAAUGUUACUAUAAUGUGGAAGCUUCUUUCUUCUAUUUCUAAGAGCCAUUUACGAGAAAAAAAAUUUAAAAAAUUUCAGGAAAUUAAAUUAAAUCUUUCAUCAAAACUGAUUUUGUAACUUAAUCUAGUUCUGCAACCUAAUAUAAUUACGUAACCUAAAUUUACUGCAAUCUAAAUUCUAGACUAAGAAAAAUAAUUACUAACCUUUUUGUUUACGUAGGAGGCUGGAUAGAGAAUGCUGUAGAGAGUAGAGAGGAAUGGCUGACGAGAACGGGAAUAAAUGAGUUGAAUUUAUAUAGAAAACCAGGAAUCAUCGUAAAUUCGUCGUAUAUUUACGGCAAAUUAACAAUGACCCGCAUUUUUGGUUUACGACGAUUUAACAAGAAACCAUGUUUACAAUUUUGAUGAAUUCAAGAGCAUAUAUGUGACACCCCCGAUUGAAGAUGACCGGAAAUGACACGGUCGAUGUUUUUUGAUGGUCGAUCCGAGGUUUUCAGAAUACUCCUGAUUGCCUUAGACCAACAACCAAAGAACACUAACUCUCCUACCGGAUGCCACUCUAGGCUUUUCAAACCGGCAAAGCAAUACCCGAUAGUUAGUUCGUUUGGGCAAUGACUAAUAUCAUAUGAAACCCGUACUUUAAAAAACAUUAUUUAUACAUUAUAUAUGAUUCAAGAGCAUGUUACAAAAUUUGUUAUAAAUUAACAUCGAAGUUUUCGGUCAACAAAUCUUAUACAUAAGAAAUAUCAAAACGAAUUUGCAAGGACAAUAAAACUACCUCUGGCUAAUGUUGUUCCUUCCCGUCCUAGAGUAAGCCCUCCCAUCUACUGGUUACUUGCAUCACAAAUGAGUCAUGAGUAACUAAUUUGCUCAGUGAGUCUAAUCCCGCAGCCCAACACAUACAAUUAAUAUCCGAGGAAUUGACACCAUUUGAAUGCAGUGAAAAUAUAUUCCAUAAUUAUUAUAAAUACAUAUAUGACCUAUCAUUCCAUCGAUGUGAAUCUUAUCUUAACAUCACCUCCACAACACCCGCCAUUCACUCAUACUUAUAAUAUAAUAUAUAUAUAUAUAUAUAUAUACUAAAUCCGGAAAACCACCAAGGCUAACCAAGUCUAGCGGAAAAAUAAAUAUAACCAUCAUCUCCAUCAGAUAUUCCAAGAUCGAACAUCUAACGCUGCAUGUAGUUACACGGCCUCCAGGGUGCGACCCCAUAAUCGUGUUUCCGUGACCUUGUUCCGUAUCACAGACCAAUUCACGGUAAUGCGGGACUGGACUUUCGGGAGAGUGAGUAUACAAUAAGACUUCACAAAUUUAUUGUUUCAUACUGACUUAUAUACGUAUAUAAAUUAGUGCUUGAGAACAAGUACUGAGGUUUGAGAUAAACCUCAACGAAUAUUUCAUAAUAAUUCUUAAGUGUUUACACAAGUAAACACAUCACCAUAGUGUUUACACAAGUAAACACAUCACCAUAAUUAUAGAUUAAGAGAAUUUCUUAUCAAUCAAGCAACACACAUUCCAAAAACUCAUUAAUCAUCAAUCUAGACUCACCUUUAAUCCAUGAGACUGGCUAAAAAAGACUAGAUUCGAGCUUCACUAAGUGUUCACCACUUUCUGAUCACUCCCAAUACAGAAUGAAGACAAGGCAUGAUACGGUUGGUCUGAUCACCCUCUUCGACCAUCUGAAUUCAAAACAUAAUGGUUGGAACAUAAUGUUCAUCAGUAUGGUUCAGCCCCACUGUUCAAGAUUCAGGACAGCUACUAAGUAUCUACUAAGCAAAGUUAAGAGCAGGCUCAAUUCGGUUCAAUCACAAAUUGAACUAACCACUGUUCAUAUCAGAUUGGUUAAGUUCAUCUAGAACAGUUCAGAAUAAAUCAAGUUAGCUUGGUUAUUUAAGAGCAGACCACAAGAUAAGCAAACACUAAACUGUAGAGUUGCAGACCACGAUGAUUUAACAAGAUAUAUCGUUUAUCAUACCCUAAACCGAAAUCUUGAAUCCCUAUAACCUGGAUACCUAAACUGUAUAUCCGUAGAGUUGCAUUUGACCAUGUAUUUAUGAUGAAUCAUCGUAAAUACAUGGUUAUUGGUCGACCGAAUUACGACAUAUCAUCAUAAAUUGGUCGUAAUAUAUACAUUUAACUUUGUGAAAGCAUAGAAUUCAAUGCAAACAAACAUUACUAGGUUCCAAAACAUUAAUAAUGAACAAACAAAACAUAAACUAAAAUAAAUGAAUAAACACAUUUCAAAUUGAUUCAUAUUUAUGUAUAACAUAAUGCUUGAGCACAAAACAACACAAAGAUCACUUCAGCCGGAUUCCUCAUUCUUGUUAUCAUUACACACAUCACUUUCAUCAAAUCCGUCUUCAUUUGCAUCAUCCGUCAUAUCGUCUGGAAGAUUUUCAUGUUUACGGUAAUGCAGGCCAAUAAGAAGGAUUUCAUUGGUAGGUUAUUCAGGUACUUCAACUUCAUUUAUGUAAGAAUAGACAGAUUAUGGUGUGUGAGUGUUGUUGAGAACAGAGAGUGGUCGGAUUGAAAGAGAACAGAGUGAAGACAGUAAGUGAGAAUUAAAGAGACUGCAAUGGAGCAAAAGAGAGAUUAAGUGAGAUUUGAGAGAGUAUGAGAGAGAUUCUUGUAACCAGAGAUUAGGGAGAGUAUAAGAGACUUGAGAAUGGUGAAGAAGAAAGGGGAAACUCCCCCAUUCAGCUUAAUUUCGUAAUGGUUACAAUGGGGUGGCUUUAAAGCCUUUACAACAAGACAAACAAGACAAUAAACAAAGAAUAUUUCAGGGAAUGAAUAAAUAAUAUUAUCCUGGGCAAAUCAGAAGGGCAGACUGGCUGGAGAGAGAGAAUGGCACGUCCAGCAUGAGAGAAAGUGACAUAUCCUAACAGCUCUUUGGUCCUUAAGCUGGCAUGUGACUUCUGAUCUGAUUUGAAUUCAAACUUGAUGUCUAGGCGCCAAUUUGCACACAUCACUUUCUGAAGAAGAUUCUUGGCGCCAGGGACUCCCUCCCUAUCUUUGCACCAACAUGAUUCGUACUCUCUUGCACAGAUUUUGCACAUCUCUUCUUUUUGGGUGAUUCAAGGCAGUCCCGGACAUUGCACAUUUCAUGAUCUUCCAUGUGCAUUCUCAAGGCUUCUCUUGCACUCACUUCUCAGCUUGCGCUUCUUGCUUCUUCAUUCCAACACUCCCCCUCAAGCUUGACCAUAUGAGAUCCUUGGACAAGCUUGGAACCUUGAAGAAGCUCCCUCAUUAAAAACCUUAGCAAGAAAACCCAUUGGGACAAAACUUGCUAAGGGAAAAAGAGUGGAGUUUCCACAAAGCUUAGGGAUUGGCCAGUGAGCCUAAGGAACUUCAGAUUCAUCAUGGUGGAGUCCUUAGGCUCUGGAUCGUGGCCUAAUAGGUAUAGCAAGUAUGAAUCACCAUAACUUGCUAUCCUUGAGCACAAGUAGCCGGCUGGAUCAUUUUGUGUCCGGUUUAGGGUCUCCCCCUCUCAACUGGCUUCAAGCCACCUUAGGAAGGCAAGGAAACGACCAGACCAUCUUCUCUGAACCCCCAGCAAAGUUACUUGUUCUUUAGAACUUGGCUUGACCUCUUCAUGGAACCAUAGACUCGGUUAGGAUCUCCCCCUCUCGACUGACUUCUUUGGCCAUCUUAGAAAUGCUAGGACAUGACCGGAUCAUCAUCAUCAUCUUCAGUGAGGCUCAAGCUUAUUUUGGUACCUGAUGCAUCAUUUCAAAAGUGCAUCAGUUCUUAAGGAAAUGCACUCAUCACAUCAAACUCAAUAAUAGUUUAAGUAUAAGGACAAUCAUGAAUGUAUUGAGAUGAGUUUAAGGUGCUUCCCUUUUAUAAGAAUGGCCAGGAGUGGACUCCAAUUGAAUCCACACUUGGUAAGACACAGUCCGGAUUAUGGAAGUUCAAUCACACACUUGGAACUGAGCUUCUUUGACCCGGUUGGUACUGAGUAAUGCAAGAGUGAAUCCACCACUUGCAAACUCCAAUUUUGAUCAGAGGUGAGGCAAUGAACGACUUGGAUUGGCGCCAGUUGCUUCACUGUCAAAUCACCUUUGAGCUUCUUCUUAUGACCUGAGCUUGUCUCCCCCUUUCUUUUGGCUUCUUGCCUCCAUUUAAGGGUUGAGACAAAGCUUUUCUUUGUUCAUGAGCUCAAUAGGUACCUGAUUCAAUCAUCCAAAAAUUGCAUGUAUCAAUUCUCAAGGGGCAAACCUAUUCACACAUAAGAAUAAUAAUGGUUUUAGGUACUUCCCUUGCAUCAGUUUGUUGAAUGUUGGUGAGGAUUGCUAAGCACUUGAAUCCUCCACGCCAUUCCUUCUCUCAACCAGCCUUUGCAUUUUUCUCUUGAAGUUUCAGCAUGUAGGGAAGCUCAGCACUUUUCAACUCCAUAAUUUGCCACCAUCAUGUGAUUGCUUAGCCAAGAAUUUCCCUGAUUGAAUACUCCUUGAGUCCUUGAAUAUAGCUGGUCAGAGUGGUGGGGUGUGCCAGCUUCUUCAGACUGAUCACUUAGGCCCCUCCUUAUUAAAUCGCCAUGCAACCUCUUCUUCUUGAUCAUCUAUUUUGACACAUAGAUGUUGCUGGCCUUCUAUGAGGAAAAGAGACACUUAGGAGCUUCAUGGAUCUUCUGGUAGCUCACUGAUUCCCCUCCUCAAGCUUGGCUGAGUAUAGGGACAAGCUUGAAUGUGAGCUUCAAUGAGUUUUGAAACUGGGAGCACAACAAUACCAACAUCUGCGCUUAAGCCAACCAGUUCACUAUCUUCCAGGAGCACAACAAUACCAACAUCUGCGCUUAAGCCAACUGGAUCACCAUUUUCCUUCAGCUCUAAUGUCUUUAGGCCACCAGUCUCCCCAUGACUUAGGUGAUGACCUUCCUUAUGAGUCUCUUGAACCAGGAGCACAACAGCUCCUACGCCUGCGCUUAAGCCAACUGGUUCUACUCACAAGGUAUCUUUACAUGGUCAGGACUAAACACCUUGAUCCAUGCCUCUGACCACCGGCCACUCUUGGCUUAGUGAUGGCCUUUUCUCUUGAGUGCACCUCCUGUACAUCCUCUUGGCAUCAGGUAAGUCACUUCUGAGCAGUUUCUCCAAUUCUCCAACAUCCUUUCUAUCUUCAGGGUAGGAAAUGGGCAGACACAUAGAUAGGAUUUGGGACUGGGCAAUCUCCACGGUUCAGGAAUAUCCAUCUUGGGAGGCUCUGUAAAACGUGGGCAAUGCCUUCUUCUUUGUCUUAGUUUGAUGAUGGACAGAGAUCACCUCUUGUGUACCUGAAACAUCACUCAAACUCCAGCAAGAAUCAGACCACACACACUAGGAUCAGCCCUUGAUAAUUCACCAAGUCUGAUCCCAAUGUUUUAAAAAUAAAUAUGCAAUGAACAGAAUCUAAACAACUCAUUCAGUUCAACUCCAUGCAUACUAACAUCACUAACUGCUCAGGUAUGAUAACUCAUCAAUAACAAGGCAAUUAGGCUCUUUUUAUGAAUUUUAAAGACAAUAAACAGAGACUAAACAACUCAUCUAAUCAUCUUGAACAAUAUAUAUAAUGCAAUACAAGAUCAGGAGGCUCUCCUAGACCUUUAUCAAUGCAACAAGACAAUGACAGUAGCUAACCAAUCGCCUAGCACAAUACAAACAGAAACAAUUAAUCUAGGACAGGAACUAAACAAUACCAUGCUAGACAACUCCUAGAAAUAAUUUAAGAAACAGAGCAACACACACAAUUUAAGUAUCAUGGGACAGAAACUAGGUUCAACAACUCUAGCAACUUGAACCUGUCCCAAGGAUACCAAACACACCACUCAACACAACCAGACAUAACUACUCAAGCUCUUAUUAAAGGUAGGAGGUUAACUUACAAACAAGGAACCUGAGCUGGUUCCUUGAACCUCCAAGGCACACUGUUCACUUGAACUUGACAGAUUUGGAGUUUGGGAUCUCUACCCCACGCCAUUUCCUUGUGUGUGCUUUCCCUUUAGACCACUCAUGCUUAAGACCCCUCCUUUCUUCCUGAUUACCAGGCGCCACCUUCUGGCACACAGUGAGAGACUCCAUUUUGGGAAGAACUUGAAAAUCACUUGUACAGACUUGGUUUGGAGCAUUGCUUGCCAAACAGCUCCAAAACCUUCUUUCUCCAAGAGAUCUCUUCAGGCUGAACAGGAGAAAGGAUGAUAGACCUUGGGAAGUCUCUGGACACGCCAUGUUUAGUCUUCUUCCUCUUGAAGAGAUUGAACAGCUGGCUGGACAGAAACUCUCCAAUGAUUUGAAAUAACAAUGAGGAUGAGCCUAUGCUUGAAUUGUGGAAGCUUUGAGUUUCAGAUACUAAAGACCUCCUUUAUCUUGAGUUCUGGUGAGUCUCUUCCCUCCUGGAAAAGCUUUAGACCAGAGGAUACAAGGAUGAACAGAAACAGAGAUUUUUGAAGAGAAGUAUGAACUGUAACAGAUUUGCGGAAGCUUUAUGGAUUCUCAGGAGCUUGGAGCUCUGAUACCAUGUAAGAAUAGACAGAUUAUGGUGUGUGAGUGUUGUUGAGAACAGAGAGUGGUCGGAUUGAAAGAGAACAGAGUGAAGACAGUAAGUGAGAAUUAAAGAGACUGCAAUGGAGCAAAAGAGAGAUUAAGUGAGAUUUGAGAGAGUAUGAGAGAGAUUCUUGUAACCAGAGAUUAGGGAGAGUAUAAGAGACUUGAGAAUGGUGAAGAAGAAAGGGGAAACUCCCCCAUUCAGCUUAAUUUCGUAAUGGUUACAAUGGGGUGGCUUUAAAGCCUUUACAACAAGACAAACAAGACAAUAAACAAAGAAUAUUUCAGGGAAUGAAUAAAUAAUAUUAUCCUGGGCAAAUCAGAAGGGCAGACUGGCUGGAGAGAGAGAAUGGCACGUCCAGCAUGAGAGAAAGUGACAUAUCCUAACAGCUCUUUGGUCCUUAAGCUGGCAUGUGACUUCUGAUCUGAUUUGAAUUCAAACUUGAUGUCUAGGCGCCAAUUUGCACACAUCACUUUCUGAAGAAGAUUCUUGGCGCCAGGGACUCCCUCCCUAUCUUUGCACCAACAUGAUUCGUACUCUCUUGCACAGAUUUUGCACAUCUCUUCUUUUUGGGUGAUUCAAGGCAGUCCCGGACAUUGCACAUUUCAUGAUCUUCCAUGUGCAUUCUCAAGGCUUCUCUUGCACUCACUUCUCAGCUUGCGCUUCUUGCUUCUUCAUUCCAACAAUUUAUACCCGAGUCUUGUUGAAAAUAUGGGUUUUCUCCACCAAAUAUUCAGUCCUAAGUGUCAUUUUAAUAGCAAAUAACCAAGCUAUUUCGGAAUCUUUGAUCCGAGGGUAUUAGAUGAAGCUAACUUAGUCUUCUUAAGAUUACAAUAUGAAAGAGUCGAAUUUGUUGUACUUUCUUGCAGCAUUGACAUCAACAACUCUAAAUUUGUUGUACUGGACACCUACGUUGACGACACGGUCGAACCCCAUCAUAUUUGAAGAGGAUGCAUUUCAUCGGCACUAACCGAGACAUUCCACUUCAGUAAUCUCUUGCAAGUUCCAGUAAAAAUUUGUUUUACCUUUCACACAUAGUCCGUAGUUAACUAUUGCCUUAUGUUUCCCAUACUCACAAGCAUUAAAAUUAAAAUCACGUGUGAAAUACAUUGGUUCCGUGGUGAUCUUUGUAAUCAGAUCCUAAACCAAUAUGUGAAAUCAAGGGGAUAAAAUGGAUAGUCAUUAUCAACAUGCAAAAAAUAAAUUUGUUUAUGCAAAUUUAUAUAAUUUUUUUUUUGCUAAAGUAGUUAAGGUGUAAAGCUUAUACAAAACUACCUAGGUCCUCAACCACUUAACAACAUGUAGAUCUUUCUGUUUUUAGCUAACAGUGAAUAUUCCUUCAAUAGCUUCUUGAAAUUCAGUAACAAAUAAGAUGCUGAUAGCAAUAUAAAUUAACCAAUUGUAUGGAAACUUCAAGUACUUCAAUAAAUAAAUAUUUUAGCUUUAAAUUGAACGUUUCCCUAAAAAUUCAGCAAAACAUAUUAUGGGAUAUGUGACGGUAUUUGGGACUCGACCACCAAACUUCUUUCAAUUUUCCACCCAAAUAGCUGAUUUGGCAUAAAAUGUUUGGAAUAUCAUCAACUGCAUAUGUUAGCGCAACACCACCAUUAUCAUAUAUUCGUAGAUCUCUUUUUUCGUGUAUGUACUUUUGGCCCAAAGUAAUACGAUGUAAAAUGAGAUGUUUCUUCUGUCAAACUCCCAUCAACGAUUGAUCCUUUCACUUUUGAAAGAAUGUUUUAGUACACAUAAUUAAAUCUAUUCUAUUAAAAGAGAAGCAGUUUUGAAAAAUCUACUUAUACAAGGUUGUUUGGACUAUUUCCUAAGAAUUAAUAAUUUCAUGGUCCUACUUAAAUUUCUCAUAACAAUAUAUUUUCAUAAAUUUCUCUGAUUUUCUUUAGAUAUUAUAAGUGUGUCACUCCUAUAUUUAUGGUAACUACUAUAUUACCUUCUAUAAAUCUCACCCCUUGAUUAUAAAUUUUUCCAUUUAGUUAUUGAUAUCUCAUAUACGAUUUAUUAACCAACAUUUUUUUGAUGCAUUAAUAUAUAAACUCGUGGGUCCAUAGACUAAUCUAUUAUGUAUGUGACCAUAUAUAUAUAUUAUAUAAUGUUUAUUUUCAUUCUUAAAUUUAUAUCUAUAUAAAACGAAUGGUAUGAUGCAUGUCACCAUUAAAUAAUACAUGCCAUUUGAAUUUAAAUAGUCUGGUAAGUGAUACAUGUAUUUUAAAGAAAUGAGUUAAUGAAGUAUGAUAAAUAAUUAUCACAAAAUCAUGUUUUACUAUAGAACCGAUCAAACUUAGUAGUAUAUUAUAUUAUUUUUAAUCCAUAAAAAACGAUAUUAACAUAUAAGUACUGAACAAAUUUGAAAAAAAUGCAUAUGAAGUUAGUUAAAAAUUAUCCUCGGGCCAACUUAUUUAAUUGAGUUUUUACUAUAAUUCAGAUACAACCACUUAAACCAUAUUAUGAAAAAUUAAAAAAUACAAAUAAUUUAGAAAAUAUUGCUCCAAAUUCUCCCUUUUUUUUAUAAAAAAAUAAGUUGACUUGAUUUUUACUUAUGAAGCACAAUUACUAAAAUCCAAAAUAAUGAUUAGUAUUUUUUUUUGGGCAACAAAUAAUGUUUAGUAUAAAAGAUGCUCAAAUACAAGUCCACUUCUGUAAUUCAAUUUAAAUAAAAAAAUAAAUUUACAAAUAUAAUUAGGUCCAGAAUUAAUAUUUAUAUUAUUUGAGUUUCAAGCUUGCAGGUUUUCGCGGGUUAUUCAAUUAUAUAUUAUAUACUAAACACAUUGAGAUUAGUAUAAACUCUUCACUAGGUUUGGAAUACCUAAGUUAAACAAGAUUUUUCUCUUUUGAAAAAAUAUUAACCCCGUGCUUCAAAGCUUGAUUCAAAAGUUUGAAUUGAGUUUUGAAAAAAUAUCAUCCAAUUUAUAUGGGAUUUUAUCGGGUCAACCAAUAUUGGAUAGCGGGUUAAUGAUAGUUUUUACGUUUUUACCGACUUUUAUCAGAUUUUUAUAUAUAAAGUUUUAACAAAAUUCAGACCAGAUUUAUAUGAAUCACCUGAUUUACUUCUGAGACUGUAGGUUUGGUUCGGGUAUGAAAACACUGCUAAAACUAUUAAAAAUUCUAUAAUAUAUAUACUAUUAGAUUAACCCAAAAUCUGCCAAGUUAAUUUUUUUGUCUCAUCAACUCAACAAAUAUAACUCUUACAAAAUACACACAAAAUGCAACGAUGACGUUGUAACAUAAGAAUACACAUAUAAAAUCUAAAAUAAACUAUUUGAUAAAUUAUAUAAUUUUAAACUAAAAUUCUUUUACCUUUUUGAUAUAAUAACACUUUAUAACUUAAUAAUAUACUUCAAAACCUCAAAACCAAAAUAAUAAUUCAUAUCAAACAAUAUUCUUAAUCGGAAAAAAACCCGCGCUUCAAAAGCGCGGGUCAAAAUCUAGUAAUGAUAUUAAAUCACAAUACCAAUUAUUUACCUAAAAGUGCUUCAUGGACAUUUGUUGGAAGUAGCUCCGCAAUGCAGAUGGAAGUAGUAGUUGCAUAAACACAAGACAACCAUGACUCUUCAUCUUUGAAAACUUUUGACUUCGCUGAACACAUCUUGAGAGAUUUACAAUGUAUCUAUCCGAAAACUUCACUUCAGAUGCCACCAAAUUGAACAACAGCCACCUUUGCAUCUUAUAACAAUUGAAAUUGAGAAGUGUGAUUUUUUCUAUUGCUUUUGAUAUAUAACUCAAUCCCUGAACAAAUAGCAGAUAAGUCAAUCUUAACUUUUUGCUAUCUUUUGUCUUCUCUUGGACGUUCAUUAUUGUAUGCAUGAUGUUGUCGAAAAAACUAUUUUCUAUAUGCAUUACAUCCAGAUUGUGUCGAAAAAGAAAAUUCUUCCAGUAUGAAAGAUCUCAAAAUAUACUCUUUUAGUGCCAAUUGUGAUGCUCCCUAUAAUCAUCAAGCAUAUUCCGAGGAACAUGCCAAUUACUCCCAUGACAAACUAUUUUUUUGCGUAUCAUAGUAAUCAAUUUACUCUUCGAUUUUUUUCCUAGUAAAAUGUACAGGAAGAGUGUCUCGUACAGUUACUUUGUACCUAAAAAUUUCUUGAUUUUUCGGUAUUGAUGGUUAAGAGAAAGAAACCACUGAUGGCAAUUAAACCAACAUGUCUUCCUACCAUACUUCAAUUGAAAAACAUAUAUCCUUCCAAGACAACAUGGAAAAGAUAACCUCCCAUGUGUUGUCCAUUUUGAUAGCAUACCGUAUGCAGAAAAGUAAUUUAUGGUCCACAUAACACCUGCUCGCAUCAUAAAAUUCAUUUUCGAUGAACAAUCAAACGUGCAGACCCUUAUUGACAAUAACUAUUUCAACUCUUGUAUCAAAGGUUCUAGAAAAACACCAAGUGACCGUUUUGGAUGCUUAGGCUUAGGACCGGGGACUAAUAUACUCAAAAAUAAAAAUUCCCUUUACAUGCACAUUUUCGACGUAAAAACUACUGCUACAAUUAAUAUUUUGUCCCAGACAUUCCAAAAGGAAUAAAUCUAUCUGUGCAUAAUAUAAGAUAAACAUUAAGAAUAUUUCUAGUGAAACCAGGGUGUACCAUAUUGAAAUUUGUCCACACUUUUGCAUGCAUUUAGACAUGUUCGGCAGACAUCUCAUCGCUUCAGCAGUCCUCUUAGAUUGAUAUGAUAUUUUCAACCUAUCUGUGAUAGGUAUGUAUCACAUCCUUAGGUACAAUACCUUUGUCUGCCCUCUUCCUUGUGGUUUAUAUCGUGGCUUCUUUCAAAAGAAAUAUUCUUGUGGCUUUUCAUCAUUUCUCUAGUAUAUCAUACAAUUUUCAAUGCGCUCAUCUAUCAUCUCUGAAUCCAACCAAAGACUAUAAACCAAUUUAUGAAUCUCAUAGUAUAAAUCAAUAGACAAGUUGUCUUCUGGAAAAUAAUCUUUAAACAACUCAGCCCAUGCAUCCACAAAAGCCUCAUGUCAAGCAUGAUUAGUUUUUAAUAUUCAUCAUCUUUUAUGCCAGAGAAUUAAGAUAGACCUUCUCUAUAACCGAAGUAAAUCGGUUGAUUUGCAACAUCCAACAUAUUUAAACCUUUUAAAUCCAAGUUAGCUUAUUCAACAUUACCAAUUUCAUCCGCUAUUGUUGAACUUGCUUCUAGAAAUGCAUAUGUAACAAUGUCAUGAAACCCAUUAUGAUCUACCCUGUCUUUCUGAUGGUAACUAGUUUCAGUAUGCACAUGAAUCGGUUCUUCAAUAUUACCAACCACCUCAAAAUUACUAUUAAUACUACUAGCUUCAUUCCCACCAUAACCCUCACCAUGUUGAAACCAAAUGUAAUAUUGUGGCAUAAAUCCUCUUUUAUCUCCUAAUGGUUCCAUACCGUUUCACUACAAGAAAAUUUUAUAUUCUUGCACUUCUGACAAGGACAAAACAUCUUACCAGUUUCAUGCUUAAUCGGUGUAGUACCCGCCAGGAAUAUGAAUAUAUGUAGACUGUUAAGAAAUUUCUUCGUCACCCUUAAGUCGGAAUAUUUGGGCAUAUACUUCCAACUUCAUGGUUCGUCGAUAUUGCCAUCAUAUGCGAUUUUUUUCUUUAACGGUCUGGAAAUUUUUUUUUUGUAGGUUUCAGUAUUAAGAAAAAUGACAUAUAUAUAGGAGUUUUUUUUUGGUCUUUGGUAGGUAGGAAAUUACCAACUGAUUAAAAAUGAAAGUACUUUUCUAGGCUUUUAUAUCACCAUAACAACUAAUUUAAGAGGAAUUAUGUUUGGUAUAUGAUACCAUUCAAUUUACCCUAAGUAGUGAAUUACUCUCUCAAAUAAGAGGUUUAGUUGCAGUACUUAGGGAUCGAAUCCAAAAGGAGCUAGGGAACCUAUUAAAUCUAGUCAGGUUAUUAAUUCUAGGUGUUUGUUGUUUUAUGGUUUAAAAGUAAAUAGCAAUCCUAAUUGAGCAAGUCUAUUGCUCGACUAACAAGAUGAUUGGGGGUGUAACUUUAUUGGAAGAUAUUAGAUGCAUGGUUUCUAUUCAGGUGUUAGAGAUUAUAAUCCUAUAGAUGCCUAACAGUUGCAUGCAUGAUAUAUUAGAGCUCAACUACUUAAUCACAGUGAUCAGCGAUGGCAAUGUUUCACUGGUUAACUAACUAGAUCUUGGAUCUCAAUUGUCGUCUUUUGAUCACAAGAAAGUGUCGAUCGAUGAUCCUAUAUGGAUAUCGAUCGAUACACCUUUCGCAAAUAUCGAUCAAUUGUCAGAAGACAAUAUCGAUCGAUGCUUCUAGCUAAGCCCUAGGCGCGGGUUGAUAAUGCUCACUAGUCUCCUAGAUCAGCGGUUAGCUCUCUCUAGAAGUCCUAGCAUGACAUAUUAGAUUCAGGACAUGAUGAUCAAGGAUGCUUGACACAUGCAAAUUCCUAGGUUCAUGUUCUAGUUAGCAAGGCUAAAACAAGCAUUAAGAACAAUCAAUCAAUGAAUAUCACAACUUAGCAAAUCUAUAGUUGAGGCUAAUCCCUCUAACCUAUUUGAACCAUGAAUCUAACAAGUAAACUACUCAGACAUAGCUAAAUAAUUCAUGACACAAAAUAUAAAUAAAAACUGCAUAGAAUAGAAUAGAUGAAUCAAUGGAGUUCCAAUCACAAAUCUCUCUAUGAUUUUCUCUCCUAAAACUCUCUCUCUCUCUCUCUCCUGCUGAAAGUAAGAAUACAAUGGUGGCUGAAGCUCUCUUUGCCUCCUAACACUUAGGCAAGUAUAUAACUAUUAGGUUAAAAACUUAUCAGGGGUAAUCUUGUAAUUUGGUGAAGCCUUGGGUUUAAAGUCGGCUGGAACCAAGUUGCGCGUCUCGCGUCUCGACAUAGAUCGAUGGUACAAGAUGUACAUCGGUCGAUUGCUUCUUCUUCGUCUCGGAUGAAAUCUCUUUUAAGCUCCUAAAAGCUCCAUAAUCAUCACUUUACUCCAAGAUACUCCUAAAACUGAAAACAUACCUAAUAGGAUAGAAUAUAUAAUAUAUGUAUAGUAAAACAUUAAUAUACCAUGGAUGAAAAUGGAUCAAAUCCAUGGUAUAUCAACUCCCCCAGACUUACCCUUUUGCUUGUCCUCAAGCAAAACAAACAGGCAGUCUCUCUAAAAGAGGUUUGAAAACAGCAGGGACUUACAGAUUUAAAACAUAGAAAUCAUCACCUCUACAAUUUCGCAAACCACAUCUAAAAAGUCCUAAUCAUAAAAGCACAUUAUGCAAUAUCCUAGCUUAGAAACCAAAUUCAACUAGUCUACAACUCAACAAAUCAUGUCUGACAUUCUCCUCUACUAACCUCAUUUCUUAGCAUAAAUAUAAAAGUGCAUGCUUUACCUUGGGAGUGUCGAUCACAGGAUGCAAGGAUUUUCAGACAAGUAUCUGGAACUGCAGGUAAAAGUUAGUUCCUAAUUUCUCUCUCUCUAAUUUCUCUCUUGAGUCAAAGUCUGCUUCCAUUGCAGGAUUAGUGACCAAGAUUGGACACGCUUCCAUGAAUUAAGACUUAAUGGUGGUUGCCACCAAGCCCUGUUCACUUCUGUUUGACCUAUAUCCAAGAAUUCUUUGUGAAGCGAGCCCUGAAGAUUUCCACCUCCAAGUCCCGUUCGAAUUCUUUUAUUGGAAUCUUUAUGAAUAAAACCUUAAUGGUUUUAGCCACCAAGUCUUGUUCAGACUCCUCCUAACUAGAUCCUAAGUCCUAAUUAAGUAAUAAAUUUCGGAUUUUUUUUUUAGAUAUCACGAACUACUCUAGGGUCGAAAUAGAGAGAGGAAAUGUGAUAAAUGAAUCUACACAAGGCGUUACCUUCCAGACUUUACUGAAGAAUCCGAUCUCAUGUAUACCAAGCCCCAAGACAAGCGAUUAUGUCAGGUUUAGUGUUGGAGGUCAGAUUUGGUUCCUUCAAACAAUCAAGGCAAGUGUGUAUAGUUGACAGGUUGAUCCACUUUAGCAUCUUUAGUAAUAUCUGUAAUCAGUAAAUCUAGAAUGGUGCUAAAGAGUGGUUAGACAUUCAAGUAUAAAUCAAUAAUAAGAUCAUAAUCCCUUUCAGAUAGCUAAGCAUAACUUUAUUAAAAUCCUUUUAUAAGAAUCAAAAUAAAUUAUAUCAGUAAACCUCCCCCCCCCCCCCAUACUUAAAUUACACUGUCCCAGUGUAACACAAUCAGAGUUAUGGUGCAAAUAAAUCAUAAGUACUCAAUGUAACAAGUUAGGAAGAUAAACCUGACCUGAGUGGGAAUCGAUCGAUGUGCAUCGGUAAGCAUCGAUCGUCGUAUGUGAUUGUAGGUGAAUCGAUGUCGACGUCCAGCUGAUGCUGCUCAUGCUAAGCAGGUUAAUCCCACGGGUUCCGAUGGGCGAGAUCGUCCUCCAAAAAAGGCAAAGACCACUAGCUUGGACUAGAGGCUGGGUUCAUCAGAUGACAGCGCUGAGACGAAACCAUUCCACUUGCAGUUCUCUCAUACGAAAGACUGAUCCGUACAUGCGCAUAUGGUGAGAAAUUUUAAACCGGCAGGCUGUCCACUUCUGUCUCUCCAAAAUAUGAUGGAGCAUGACGCCUACGUAAGUAUGGCAGUUGCUCAUGCAAAGGUAUGGGGCAUAUUUUAUGGGUCGGUGUAAAAAUGAAUUCUCUGAGAUCUUGAAGGCUAACAAUGAAUUCUCUGCGAUCUUGGAGGCUAACAAUGAAUUCUCUGCGACGUUCGAACAACGCUUGAAGGACAUCCCAUGCACCGAUAAGCUUAAAGAAUUCAAGAAAGUUGUCUGGGAACUGAAGGUCAGUCUGAAGCUGGCUCAAGAAUGAGAAUGUGCCAGUAUUUCCCAACAAGCCUCUACCGAGAAGAACGAGAAUCAGGCCGCUUCCCUCGACGCUCAACUUUGAGUGAUCGGAAACAAGAGGAAGGCGGCCUUCGAGAAGGUUUCUUCACUGGAGACGCAGAUCAAGGUUUUGGCAACCAAGCAAGUUGAGAAUCUUCGCUUGGCUUCCUAUGACACUAAGCCAAUCUUGCUCAUGGCUACCUCAAUGUGCUUGUCUCUUUAAAAGAGAAAUGUGAGAGGAAGAAGGUCACAGCUGAUUGCGAGUCAUGUUUUCGAGAGGUUAUGCCUAACAUCUACGUCAUUAACGAGAUCAUGAACAAUAAUCUGCUGGCAUAUGAUGAGCCCUCUCUCCUUCAGGCUAAAGAGAUCAAUCUUGGUGAUGAGCUGGACAUCACUGCCAUGUAUGACUUCUAGGUUAGGAAGUUUGAACUCCCUCAUAUCUCUAAGGAGCUCCCUAACAGCUCCUUUCUGAAGUUGUCUUCUGUUUUAAAGAAUUUGUCAGCAACCUGGACUGUUCCAGAAUUGUGGAAAGGGUGGUGGAGAACAAGCUGAGGAGGGUGAGAAUGUUGUUGGCGGGUAAUAUACCCUGGUUUUUACAAUUUUAGACCAUGGUAUAAGUAUUAUUUAGAGUCCAUUAUAUAUGUUUGGAGUAGUUUUAGAGUCGUUUCAGGUUCAGGUAUGUUUUGGGAAACUUUGGAGAUUUUGGAGCUAUUUGAAAUGAAGAACUAUGAAGAUGCAUUCGAAAUUUAGAAAUGGAUGGAGGCCUCGCACGGAUAGAUUGAGAACAUAUGUUGACACAAGACAGAGCUUUGAGUUAGCUUUCUAAUUCUACCGGUUUGAGGUCGAUCAGAUGGUUGGAUCAAAAGUUUUGCUCGUUUUACAGACGUGUAGUGUGUCUGACGCGUGAGAAGAAGCUAUCGAAGUUGUAGCAUAGUGUCGUGCGACACCACCUGGGUGUCAAACAGCAUCUAGAAUCAGCAUCCGACAUAUUUAAUUAAGUUCCUAGAAUUGCACUUUGGUCCAAUAGUUGCAUUUAUUUACAAAAGAACCCAUAACGUUUCUUAAAUCCCAUGCCAUUGUUGAUUUCUACACUUUCUUUUAAGUCUUGUUUUAAGAUUGGGAGAGAAGAGAAGAACUCCUUCGGGAGUCUUCUUGAAACUCCUGGGGAUUUAUUUUUGCAGUUUAUUCAUUUUAUGAUUUGUGUUUUGCAUCUAUCAUGCAUGUCUGAGUAACCAUCUUGUUAGAUUUAGGAAUUUUCUAUGGUUUUGAUGAACUUGUGAUUUAUAGAACUUCUAGGGUAAUCUUCUUGCUUCCUUCCUCGUGAUUUUUCUUAUUGCUUGUUUUUCGAGUAAUUAACUAGAAACAUGAUCUUAGGGUAGUUGAGAAACACGAUAGUGGGAUCAACACCUGAACUGAAUCCUGCUGGGAUAAGUUGAUAGUCACAACGAGAGUUGGCCUAGGAACUUAGUGAACAUAUAACAUUGGCACAUAAUGCUUGUCUAGAUAAUUGGAUCCGCAAGAGAGUUGGUGUUCAAUAUUUUAGGCAUCUGAUAGAAAUCGCAGAUAGGGCAGAAUAGCUUACUAAUGAAUUUUGAGUUCUAGGAUUGAUCUUAAUAAAACCCUUGACACCUAUUGAUUGCAGUUUCAAAUAAUCUAUUUGAUAAAUCCAUGAAUCUAACGCUUUUUACCUAUCUAUUUACUUUUUUUCCUGCUUUAUUGUGUUUCAUAUUUAUGGCUUAGCUUAGUGUAAGACCAUAAGUCUAUUGUGUGAGCUCCAGUCCAUGUGGCUUCGAUCCUUAAGUAAUACAAUGACACUCUUAUUAAGAUAGUUGCUUGAGGUUAGAGUGAGCAUAUCGCGGGAAAGACUGAGCUCGGACCGUUGUUGUUCACAAAUUGAUUGUGGACCAUUUCUAUUGUUGCUUUUGCGUUUUUAAUUAUUUUAAUCUUGAACUAUAGAUCAACGAACUCGUCCAGAUGAGAUCCUUUUUAUAAUAUUCUGAAUAUUGGUAUUCUGUUUCGUUGAGUUCGAAUAGGCGUGUAAUGAACAAGUGGUAUCUUUUUUUUUGGUGGACACGUUCGAUUUUCAGAAUAUAUCAAGCUCGGUGUUGAUUCUUUCAACCAAUCGAUGCCGAUAUGUAUAUGGCCUGGUUUUGGGUUAUUUCUUUGGAACGUCAGUGCUUUACCUAGAUGUUUUUUUAAUUUUAUGAAUUAGUUCGAGCCUGACGUUGAUCUGUUAAAGCUUAAUUGAUUUAUUUAAUACCAUCUUGAUGUUAGGUUGAUGAUAUAAUCACAGAAACAACACCUGAAACAGGGGCCAACCGGAUGCACCAUUCAGCCAACAGAAGGACCAACCAGGAUAUGUGUUUAGUCAAAACAGUGUAUCUCACCAACCAGGAGGAAUUUUGCAAUCAAACAAAUUUUCAUGCAUGCUACACUCAACAAGGAGCCAGGAAUAAUUGGAAUCAUCGUCAAAGAUACUCGGACCAGGAAGAUAUGCAUUUUACAAACCAGAGGUUCCCUAGCCCGUCCAUCUACGAGUAUCCAAGUUUUAAAGUUGUUUCAAGCCCAAUGAAGAAGCGUUCCGACAAAAAACAACUCAUGGACUUCAAUGUGGAUCCCUUAGCUUUCCAAAAAGCCCAUAAUGAACAGAAAUGGCUACAGAAUUAUAAAGUUAUGAUCCAAUCUCCAGAACCGAUCAAACCAGUUCUACACUUGUCUCAAUUGGAAGCUAACCGGUUCAGUCAGUUUCAAACCAAAAACUGGCUGCCAGGAGAUCAAUAUAGUAAUUCAGGAGGCUCAUCCAAUUAUUAAGAAGAGUCAGACAAGUCUGUUCCGUGCACCAGCAACCACAUGAUCAGGAGGAUCCUCAUUAACAACAACUUUCCUUAUUGGGAUGCAUUCACACUUGGAGCCAUAACUCAUCCACGACCCAGCCAUCAAAGCUACAAAGUUUUGGAGUCAUUUACAACUUAUCCAGUAGCCCCUAGAUGCACCAUAACACACUGGAUCAGGCGGAUUCCAAUCAGACCAGAAGAUAGUCCCGGUUUGCUUAAUUUGGUUAAACCGACAUUGUUUGAGGAAGGUCUUCUACUCCUUCAGUUUGGUUCGACCCAAACCUAUUCAUGGUAGCCAGGAGAUACUUUAUAUCAUACAGAAGGUAUCCUAUGCGUCCUACCAUGUGCUAGCAUACAGAGGAUUAGGAGAAUUCUCUUGCACUCCAACUUGCCUUAUAUGGAGUCAGCCGACAUAUAUGUCCAACAGCUCUUUCCCUAUCAUUUGAAGCACGACCUCAGCACAUUCCAGACAAUAAAGAAGGUUCCCAGGAAGCUCUCUUACCCUUUAAAACCGUACAGGUUCAAGAAGAAUCAAGAUUCUUAUUUGGAGUCAAAUCCCAUAAAGAGCUCCAACGGCUAGUUUUCGAUUUAUUGCUUAGUUUUAAGUUGUUUCCUUUAAUUUCUCUUCAGGACGUUAGACUAAGAUUCCUGAGCAUUAUAUAAGCUCAUUGUUAACUUAUGUACAAACCACCUUUCAAUCCACAUGUUUAUUCAAUAAUAAUUCAGUUUCUUCUUCAAAGAGUGUCUUUGCGUAUAUUGUCUAUAGUUUCAUUUGAGCCCUGUUCGAAAACGCGGCCACCUAGGCGGUGUUCGGAGGUUGACCGCAGUGAUUAUGAUCAAAUCGGUGUAGCCAGGAGUUGAUCCGCAUAAGACCGCUUAGUUUCCUUGUUGACCGCUGCGGGAACCGGAAUUCACACCGUCGAGAUUUGUUAAUCGGAAGAAAGCCAAGUUAACCUAGCCUUCCCUGAAGGUCCCGGUUAUCUGCUGGGCCACGCACAACACAAUCAAUAUGAAAGAGUCGAAAGUAAUAAAUCGUAAAAGAGCAAAAAGAGAACAAAGAGGUCUUAUUUCCGAAUUCGCGUUUGAGUGUGAACAACAUGUAAGAUCCUAGGCCACGAGAGCUGUCGGUACGUUCGCUAGUCUAGUUACCUAAGUUCUAACCUAGUCGAGUCGCAGCUCGAUAGUAAAAACGAAAAAAAGCCUAAAUAAUUCUAAGUAUUAAGUUUGCUCUGAGAAAGCUCUCUCUUUGCUCCUCGCCUUAAGCCCUCCUUAUAUACUCUCUCUAGGUUGGUUUGCACCUUUUCCUGGGCCGGAUUCGUCGCGAGAUGGGAUUUUCCAUUUUUCGUCACCCUUCAUGAUUAUCUUCGGAAACUUGACAUUUAUCUUUUCCUGCGAAAUAAAAGUAGUCCGUCAUAUCAGCUUUGGGCUCAAUCCUGUUCUAAAAUCGUAAGUGGGCCGUUUGGCCGCGGUUCAGGCCCCUUUUGGGCCGUUUUGGGACUUCGACGUUUUUACGAUUUUUUCUAAGAAACAGCCGUUGGUUUUUCCGAAAGGAUUCCAAUUCCCCGUAUAGUUAAGGCAACUGGUGUUCAAGCUAACCAUAGCCAUUCUAUAGGCCAGGCAGGAAUCCGCUUCCACGACCAAGUUUUUUAUAACUUUUCCCAAAGUCUUUCUUUGAUAAUCCUAAACGAGACGAGACAUGGGUAUUGUGUCCAAGGGCCCGAAGAUUGUGUUACGGGAACUUAGACAAGGAUGCACGGUUUCGGAGGAGGUCGGUCCUUGCUUACGAUUGAGACCUCAUCCAGACUGAUCCUCUUCUCGACGUUCCUCGGUUCACAUCCGACAAAAACUGUCUUUUACUUGAUUAACCGUUUUGCGGGAAUGUCUUAUUUUCAAGGAUCGAUCGAGAGUUGGUUUUCCAGUAACUUUCAGGCAUUGAUUCCGUCGUGAUCGGUUUUGACCCCAACAGUUAGCCCCCCAGCUAGUUAGGAUUCGUGGACGUGGGUGUGAGGUCCUAGCUUGCGGUAUGACUUGUUUUGAUGGAAUUAGACGUAAUCUUUUGCCGAAAGACCGAGAAUGAAUAGUAACCUUUUUUCCUAUACAUAGGUGGAGUAAUUUUUUUUUUUUAAGUCUUCAUUAACUUCUCUUCACAAGAAAAUUUCUCUAAGGUAGAAAUUUUUCUUAUCCUCUCUCUUUUUACCUUUGUGUCAAAGUUUUUGUUUUUCAAAAAAUGACUUCAAGAAAGAGAUCCAGGGGUAUACUUCAAAUGCCAAGGGAUGGUUCGAGCGUUUUUGCGCAUCCGUCGAGGAGAACUGUCUCCCCUUGUUCCGUGGCAAAUGGAACUUUCAUCGUGGUACGAUGGUUGGAAAUUUGGUCCGUAUAGAUACUCGUAGGUAUCUAACGCAUUUUUUUUUGUAGCGAACAGUGUUCUUCCCACGAUCCCCAGGGACUUGUUUGCUAAGCGCGACCUUCUCUGCAACGGUCCGUUCUUUUGGGAUUCCUUCACCCUAGACAGGAUCCGGAAUGCAGUGGCGCUCUACCGAUCGCGAGGCAUCUCCCGACCUUUACGUGCAUCAGACAUGGACGAGCCACACCCCGACCCUGUUCCCGAUCAGAGGGAGUGAGUUAGGCCCCGAAAGGACAAGGGAAUCGCUCUCAAAGACAGAAACUUUGUCUCAGAAGAUCUUCCGCUACCCGGAUGGAACCCGGGUUUCAUCCCCGGUGAUGGGAGUGGAACCAGUGAGGCUCCCCUUCCGGACGACUUUUUUUGCCAACCUUCCUCCCAGUUUUACUACUCCAGCGUCACUGGAUGAAGCGUUGAGGAUAUACGUGGUGCGGAAGGUUCUCAGUUGAUCAACGAGGUUUAGUCUCUGUAUGUUUUAGACUCAGUUGGCGAGUCUUCGUAUGUCGCUUCUAUGUUUGACCCUUGAUUCGUGUAGGGAAAGCGGGUCUUUAAUUCAACGCUUGACGGAAGUUUCAGAGAGGCGCGUCUUUUGCACUUCAAGGCCGAAGAGAUCAAGAGGAAAUUCAUCCGUUUUCAGAACAAGAUUGCGGAAAGAGAGCGCAGACAGGCUGAGUCCCAUUCCCGAGCUCUCAUUCGUGCGGAGAGGAAAUGGAGGAGGACGAUUGCUGCUGAGAUAGCGAGGAGAGCUACAUUCUUUGAUGCUGAGUUCAGGAGUUUCAAGGACGCUCAAGACUACGUGGGUGACUUCCGCGAAUGCCGCGGUUCGGUUGGUACCCUUUGGAAGUUGCAGAACGCUGAUUUCUCUCUUCUCUCCGAGGUUGCUCAGAUGUCGGACCUCAUGGAUGGGUGCACCCAGGCCGAGUCGAUGGUUCCUCCAAUCGAGGGGAGGAUCAGAGAGCUUUGGGAACCCAUCGAGGUUUCGGAGGACACGACGGAAGUGGGAGCCGAUGCUGCGGAUGAGGGAGGAGAAGUAGAUCAGCCCGCGGACUCAUUUGGAGUCUCGAUGUCCGGGUAUCUUGACCUUGAUAUCUGAAGGUCGUCGGGAUAUUUUUUCCUUUACCUUUAUCUCAAGAUUUCGUAUGGUGUUUUAGGCCGAGUGUGGCCAUUUGUUAUUUGAGUGUGCUAUGGCCUUGCAAGGUCAUUUGACUAUGUAUGCGGGACUGGCCGUUGGUGGCUUUGAAUCUCAGCCGCUAUGCGGCCUUGUUAUAUAUAACAAAUGUAAUUUUAGCAUUCUAUGGGAUUUAGUUUAUACUUCUGCCAAGUGUCGAGGGAAAGACACGAGUAGUCACUUCGUAUCUUAACUCUUAAUUUGUCGUUCAGUUCAUUUGCUCUUUCGAGGGUAUUCAAAAACGUUUAGGAGUUUUACGAUGUUUUGUGAGCGUUUUAGAUGUGGGCGAUGAGACCUGUUUUAUUGUUCUUAAUGAUUGUUCUAGCCUUGCUAACUAGAAUAUUGAACCUAGGAAUUUUCAUGUGUCAAGCUUCCUUGAUCAUCAUGUCCUGAAUCUAAUCUGUCAUGCUAGGCCUGCUAGAGAGAGCUAACCACUGAUCUAGGAUACUAGUGAGCAUUAUCAACCUGCGCCUAGGGCUUAACUAGAAGCUAUCGAUCGAUAUUGUCAUCUGACAAUCGAUCGAUGUUGCGAAAGGUGUAUUGAUCGAUAUCCCUAUAGGAUCAUCGAUCGACACUUUCUUGUAAUCAAAAGACGACAGUUGAGAUCCAAGAUCUAGUUAGUUAACCAGUGAAACAUUGCCAUCGCUGAUCACUGUGAUUAAGGAGUUGAGCUCUAAUAUAUCAUGCAUGCAACUGUUAGGCAUCUAUAGGAUUAUAAUCUCCAACACCUGAAUAGAAACCCUGCAUCUAAUAUCUUCCAAUAAAGUUACACCCCCAAUCAUCUUGUUAGUCGAACAAUAGACUUGCUCAAUUAGGAUUGCUAUUUACUUUUAAACUCAUAAAACAACAAACACCUAGAAUUAAUAACCUGACUAGAUUUAAUAGGUUCUCUAGCUCCUUGUGGAUUCAAUCCCUAAGUACAGCAACUGAACCUCUUAUUUGAGAGAGUAUUCAUUCCUUAGGGUAAUUUGAGUGGUAUCAGAGGUGGUUGCUCGGAUUGAAGACCGCCAAACCCAGCUAACCCAGCAGUCUCCCAAUGGAAUACCGGUCACAUUAUCCACACCUGAAGUGGAUCAGAUUUACGAGGAGGUAAAAAAUUUUAAACUUUCUAUUAUUAUUAUUCAUUUAAUCUAAUAUUUUUAUAAAUAACAUUAAAUUUUUUUUAAUUAAGGUUGUUCCUAAGAAAAAAGGAUGUACGUUGGGGAUUGAUUAUGUCAACGAUGUCCCAAGAGAGACAUCGUCUUAUGGUCAGAGACGGGCUGAUUGAGUCACUCAGCUGUGUUCCGAGUUGAACUCGACGCGGUCUGCGUUCAGAGCUCGUAUGAGUUCAGUCGAGGGCUUUUUGGACCUUCUAGCGUCUGGAAAUCCUCAUUUGGAGACCAUGUUGGCGGAGAUGCAGAGACAAAAUCUCCUUCCAGAGCCACUCAGCACACAUGAGGAUGAGGAAGAAGUACAGAGGAGUCAAGACCUCUUCGAGGAGAUGCAGAACAACAACCCUUUUUUUUUUUCUUUUUAUUGUAUUAUAAAUUUAAAACUUAAAUAUUUAUAUAAUAUUUUUGUAUUGAUUUAUUAUUUUCAUUUUUAAUUAUUUUGAAAUAAAUUUUAAAAUAUAUUUCAUUAUAUGUUUUUGUAAAAAUAAAGAAUCAAAGCAAAUUAGUAGCUAAAUUACGUCUAAUUAACGAAGAAAUUGAAAAAUUGUUAGCGAGGAAUUUACUACGAAAGUUACGCAUAUUCGUCGUAACGAUUACGUAUAAAGAAUGAUGAAAUUAAGUGUCUACUUUACGAGAAAAAUUUUUACGUGUACUUUACGAGGAAACUAUUACGUGUACUCUACGAGGAAAAUGUUUACGUGGCUUUUACGAAGAAAUAGCUGACGUGGCUUUUACGACGAAAUUAUUGACACUACUUUCUUCGUAACUUUACGACGAAUUAGCGAGAAAAUAUAUGUUACGACGAACGUUUAACGAUGAAAUGGCUUUCGUAGUUAUUUCGUAGUAAACUCUAUUUUUACGACGAAAUAACCACAAAUACCGUCAUCGUUAUACAUGUGUUUUCUUGUAGUGAGUACACAUGAAAAAUAAUGCUGAUAAGAAACGCAAAGACUUGGUUUUUGAAGUAGGAUCCAAGGAUCCAAAGUAUUUUUCAAGUUGAGACAAUUUCGUCAAAACUCCUUAAGUAAAGUUUUCUGCAAGAAGCUUGCAACAAACUUUUAUGGACCAUUCAAGGUCCUUGAGAAGAUUUGUCAGAUUGCUUAUAGAUUGGAGCUUCUAGAGAUUUUUAAAAUCUAUAUAGUAUUUUACGUGUCCCAGUUAAAGCUGGUUUUGGACAAGGAACAUGAAGUCACAAAUUUACCAUUUUUAUUGGAGGAGAAUGAUGUGUUUGUCCUACAGACAGAACAUAUAUAAUGUAUUUUUCAUGAUGUUGAAGGUCCUCUUAAGGCUUUGAUUCAUUGGAAGGGUUUACCGGUUCAUGAGAGUUCAUGGAUGCAAGUAAAAAAUAUUUCAUAUAAUUCCCCCAUUUCGAGCUUGAGGAAAAGCUUGCUCUCGCCGAUGGGGGUAUUGAUAAGAGCUGGAGAUAAUAUUAUGGAAAGAGAUUGAAGAAGAACACUAAAUCUGAUGUGGAUCAAAAUGAAGAAGGAGAUUAAUAGAUUUACGCGGGAAGUUGUUGGCUAAUUAAGAUUUUGUUAAGUCAUUUAGACUUAGCAAAUACAAAUUCUAAAUAAGGGCUUUAGAAGUUGUUAGAUGUCCGGCUUAUUUUAGAAGAUUUGAGUCUUUGGUAUGAACAUGAGAUUGGGAUUGACUCGUGUAUCCCACGAGUUAAGAGUGUAAUACAUUUCAUAUUAGUGGUUUGCGCUAUGCGUGCAGGGUGGCUGUCCUUUGUUAUAAUUUGGAUUUUCUCGAUGUAGCAUAUUUUGAUUGGUGGAUGGUAUUUUGAAAGUUUUAGUUAUAUGUUAGAAGAUGAAGCAAUAUCUGGAUCUAUGGUGUUGCUAAUGGUUUUAUGGUUUAAGUAGUGUAGGUAGAUAGUAAGAAAGCUGUGAAUUGUAUAAAAUAGUCCCAUCAUUUGUAGUUUAAUUUUAGGAAGUAAUCUUAAUUUUUUUAAGUGACAUGUAUUAUUUGUCUUUAUUGAUGUUAUUUGUUUUUAUAUAAUAAAAUAAUGGUGUGAAUUGAAAAUAUUUCUUAAUGAGGAUAUAUUAUUAAUUAUCUUGUAUGGAAAUGAAAAACCAAAGUAGUAAAUACUUCACAAAUAAAAUUGGAAAUUAAAACAUGAUAUUUCAUGUUAUUAAUCAUAUUGAGGGUGGAAUCAUAGAUUAUUUUCCCUUCAGCUUUUAUUUGUACGAAGCCAUUGAUCAAUGCAUGUAAAAUAAAAAUUAUGGCCGCAAGUAAGAGAGCAAAGUUUGUUUCCAUAGAUGUAAUUUCCGAAGCAUAUAGUGCAUAUAUUGUUUUCUUCUUAUGUAGUUGGAGGCCUAUUUGUUUCCUCUAUAUCUGUGAUGAUAAGAUCAACACAAGUCUUGCAGUCGCAUUUUGGUUGUAGUCCCAUAUGGUAAGAGUAACUUGGAGAUCAUUAGUUAUGGUAUUGUAGCCGUUUGGUAGCUUAUUCAUGACGUAUUCAGUAGUCUCUUGAAUAAUUAAGGUUGACUCGGGGUGGUGAAUGUGAUGGUAUUUUAGCAUAAAUUCCAUAUACUCAAUUGUUGAGUCUUUUAAAUUACCUAGAUUGUCAAUGAUACACGGUAGCUAGAAAUCAAUGAUGGAUUGUUAUGUGUUGUAGACUUGUAGUGUUGAGAUGGGCCUAUGGAUGUAGACUUGCAGUGUUUGCCGUGGAUUUGCUCCUGUAGAUUAUGUUUGGUGUGAGAGCUGAUAAGAAAGAAGUGGCUCGUUAUUCAUGGUGUAGUAUUUUGUGUGAGGAUAAGUUUUUUGUAGUUAUGUUUUAUAGAAGGUGAGUUUAAAUUUUUUUUUUCUUUAAUUCUUCAACCGUUUAGUUCAAAGGUCCAUUUAUUCAAAGGCGUUAACAUUUUGAGUCAAUGGUUUGUGAUAAAUUUGUUGUUUUGUCUACGUUGAGUUGUUACUUAUUUUGUAGAAUAUGUAUAAUGAUGUGUAGUGUGUAUUUGUAUGAGAAAUGAAUAAUAUUAGUGAUUUUUUGUAUUUGCAUGAUUCUCAUAAUUAGGUUUUUCUUAGUAUUAUAGAUGUUCAUUUGGAAAUAUAUUUAUUUGUUUUUGCAGAUGGUGGGUCCGCGUCAGUUAUACCAGGGCCUGCGUUAGUUAUACCAAAAUAUACUUGUUUUAUUAUUUAUACGCGCAGACGGUGUAAAUAUAUUUGUUUGUUUAUUUAUGGGCCAAUAAAUAAACAUAAAGGUCCAAGAAAAGGAAAUAAGAGAAGUUGUCUCUCUGCUCGACACAUUGUAGAGUUUUUCUAGUCAACUUUAUUAUCCCUUUUUUAUUGAUACAUUUCCAUCACGUCAAAUUUAUUACGAAUCAAAUGUCGCACCGUUGUUGUUUCCUAAAACACAUGGUGAUUGUCAAUCAUGUCAUUAUGAAUCGGAGAAUCUGUUAUGAAUCUAACCUAUACUAAAAGGUGAAUAUGGAGUGUUUCUAGCAUGUCCACGUAGGUUAAUAUAUUUGACCAAUCAAAACAUUCCAAUAAUACACGCUGGCAAAAGACACGAAGCUCUUGCUUUCGUAUGGGCUCUGCUGUGUUUCGAUGGGCUUCGUCGGUUAGCAUUGGGCUUUGCUACCCGGUUCAAUUAAAAAAAAAAUUUUCAACCCAAGAUGGAUAACACGAGGCUCUACGCUUCUCGCUCUUCGUCUUCACCGUUUCUUCACCAUCGUUUCAGUUCUCUCGAUCCAGAACUCCACAAUCAAUACUCCACUACAUCUCCAUCCAUCAAUUCCUUCUUUAUGAUUUCGAAGAAGAUGGGUUCAUGUGACAUCUGUAUGAAUGGAUUCAAUAUCUGGGAGAUUGAGAUAUUGGUGGACAGCCGCCACUCCGUUAUUUGACGACUCAUCAGGGGUUUCUCCAACAGGCACAUCAGGGGAUGGAUUCACCAAUUGUAGUCUCACUAAUUUAGGCUUUGGUCCUCUCAGAUUCUCAUCUUUCCUGAAGCUUAAAAGAGAUCUCAAAACGUCGGCAGCCAGCCAUAAUCACCAAAGUCCAGAGGAUUAUGAUCCAACUAAUUGUAUGUUUCCUAUAAUCUUUUCUCUUUCAUUUAUGUGUUGGUAUUGUUUUCUUUGUAUUGUUUGAUUGAAUUUGCUUUGUUUUGCGGUGUUUUUGCGGUGGCUCCCUAACUUGAAUUGUAGGUUUCUUCAAAGUUUAAGCUCCAAAACAAUGGAUUUGAACGGUUUUAACUUAUCAAUGCCUUUUAUGAUUCGUCUGGUUUUUUAGUUUUUAUGUAUUUGUCAUGCAGAAAGCUAGGAUCCAAAUUUGGCUAUAUGAACAGAAAGAUCUGGACACUGAAAAAAUAUUAAUGUAAGUGAUUUUACGCAUUGUUUAGCUACCAAUCUGUGCUCUGUUAUUCAUAGCUUAGCUUUGUUGGUAGAGCAAGUGUGAAUACUUAAAACAAAUAUAUAUCUGAGCGAGAGUAUAUGAUUGGGUAAUUGAUGUCUCUUGGUUUUUUCAAGUGUUCAAGAAUUCCUGGUGUUCUCUUUGACCUUAUGUUGAUUUAGAGUACAAAAAAUACAGAGGUAAUUACUUUUCUAUUAUCUGCUUGAGGGCUUUGUCUUCGUCAUUUACUUAUCGCCGUUAGCGUUAAAAAGAAGUUUGUGUCAUGUUUGUUGCUUUUAUAUGGCUUGCAAGUUUUGUCUGAAUGACAAGGUGAAGAGAGAGAGAAGCGUCGGUCGCGCUACGUCGGUGCCGCCAUUAGAGAGAAACUGUUUUUAUUGGCAGCAGAGCAGACAAGAAACAACAUGGAGAGUAAUAAUGAAGUCUAUGCUAUGUUAAAAGGUUUGAAUUCUUGGACAUGGUGGUGAUGCACGAAGUGUUAUUGUGGGCACAAGGAAGGUUUGUGACCAGACAACCUUUUUUUUGGUUCUAAAAGUUCCUCUCAUUGCAGGGCUUGUGAGGAACAUAUACUUCCCGUUUGACAUAGAAAGCGACAUAGCAAUUAGCGUUGCAAGAGAGAUGGUGGAAGAGCUGGAGAUGGACGACCAUGAUGUGACAAAGAUAGCUAACAUGAUCGAUGGAGAGAUUGCUUCUCUGGUUCCUGAUUGGAGAUCAGGCCUAGGGUUUGAGAGCAGCUUUUGCAACUGCGCCUCGAACCGGUCAGCUAUAGACUUCAACGUGAGGCAGUGUUGUACAAACAUGUGUGGAGAGAAGCAUGGACGGUUUGAGGAGAUCACUUUGGGACUACACAACUUUGGCAAAGCUUUAUAUUCCCAUGGAAAAAUGACAUUUUCGCUGUCUUUUGUUAAUAUGUGUAGAAUUAUUUACAGUAAUGUUGUCAAACCAAGAAAUAUCACAGUAAUUAUUUAAUCAUAGCUCAUUAGGCCGGUGACUGUCUUAAAAUCAGUUUAUCAUUCUCAAUUUUGAAAAAUAAACAAAAAGACAUUCUUUUUUAUCAUUAAAAAAAAUUAUAUAUUUUUAGAAGUUCAUUUAGUUUAGUGGUUUUAUUAAUAGUUCACUGAUAUCAUUACACCACAAAACUUAAGAUUUUAAGUCUCAGAAAAUAUGAUGUAUCAACUAUGCAUGAAAAAUACGAAAUAUUUUAUUAUAAAGAAGGGUUAUUUUAUAUAGAUAAAAAUCUUGAAAAGGGUGAUUAUUUACUAAUUAACAAUUGAUAUUAAAAAUAUAAUGCAGCUAUUUAGAUCAAAUUUUGAGUAAUUAUUUAGUUUAAUAUAAUAAUUUUGUAUUUAUUUGUAUUAUAUUAUAAAUAUCUAAACAUUAAUCACAAAAUUUUGGUGAGAAUUUAACAGCUUAUUAAUUUAUAGUCAUUUUUUUCAAGUUCAACACAUAAUAUAUACUGAGUACGAAAAAACAUAGAAACACCUAAGAUUUGAUCAUUAUAUAUUAUUUAUUUCAGUCAAAUGCUUUGUUGGGUUUAAAAUAUAAAUAUAUAUAAAAAUUAUCUAUUUUAGCUUAUAUUUUACUAUUAAUUGGGUACUUAUGCCAUGCUUAUGGAAGUUAUUAUCAUAUAAUAACUUAUGAAGUGCAUCUAAUAUUCAGAAAUAUUGUGUAAUUAUUCAAAUGUAUAUAUUAGAACACUACUCUGCGCUGUAACCAUUAACAAUAUUGUAAGCAAAGAGAAUUCAACGAAUUGCCAUGCAACCAUAUCUUUCUCCACUAGUGCAUCGUUGAUUAGUUUAUAUCAAAUUUAACCGACCCAAUAAAAAUUUUUACUCAUAAACAUUUACUUAAUCUACAAUUACAAGUAGUCUAUUUCCUUACUAUACUAUUUAGAUUCAUCCAACUCCAGAAAAUUUCCAAAAAAGAUGUGAUGGCACAAUGAAAAAAAUACUUAUCAAGACAAUAUGGUAUAAUUAGUUUUCAAAUACGAUAGUGUAUACAGAAUUUAACUAAUAUGUACAUUUUAAAUAGAACAAUUUAUAUUGAAUAUUUUCUCUAACUAUUUUAAUUAUUUUCAAAAUAUUAUCCCGCCCGUAGGGCGAGCCGGUCCUAGUUGUCUUAAAACUUAAAAGAAACUUUAUUAGAUUCCUAAUUUCCUUUGUUUUUAAAAUAUUUAAAGUGAUACUCAACAACGGUGCAUGCAAAUAUUAGUUUCAAAAUAUUUUCCAAUUAUUGCAUGAUUGAAACAAAUAUUGCCUUAAUUCUGGAACUAAUUUAAUACGCGAUUAAAAAAAAAGGUAUUACUUUAUUGAGAAAAAUAAGGUUUUGCAUGAUUAAUAUAUAUUUCUUAACAUUCAAUUAUGGCAUUUAUCCCCUUACUAAAAACUUUCCAAAAAUUGUAAGGAGAUUGUCAAUUAGCAUUACUUGCGUGAUAAUGCAUGGUAUUCAUAAAAUUCCAAAUUAGGGAUGUUUUGAGCUAAAUAUGACACUAAUUCGGAAUAUAUACGUACUCAUUAAUAUUAUACGAUUUUGGUAAUGGAAAUUUUAAGUCGAAACCGAAUCGUAUAUUCUUUUUUUCCGUUGAUACUGAUUGAUUUUAAAUUUAUUUUGUUGACCAAUAUAUCUGUUUGUUUCCUAUAAUAUUCCAAUGAAUCCGCUGUGAAUUUAAAUUAUGAAAAUAAUUAUGGCAAGUUUUGGGAAUUAGUGCUAUUUUGAAUUAUGCAAAUAAAGAUGGUGAUUAGUAAUCAUUAUUUACCCUAUACACAUGCCAAUUAUAUAUAAAUACAGGGGCUUCUAGCUACAUUUCCUCACCACCGUCUCCUUCUCAAUACAUUCUUAUCACAAACAUUCUUGCAAGCACAACACUCAUGGUGGGCUUUAACUUCGUUGUCGAUUUGCUUAAUUUUUUUUUCAAUCUUUACUAUUAAAUAUAGCUUGAAAGAGCUUAAGUGUGUGGCAUAUGGAAUUGAAGCUUAGGAGUUUGUCUUAUCAUAAUGCUAUUAUAACUAUUUGUAUAAAAACAUUGAGUUCUUUUUUAAUUCAGUUUUAUAUUUAUAUCAUUCCAGGAUUCCGCGGGUGGCAUGAUCGCAAGUUAUAUUCGAAGCUCUCAUUUACGAUUGGAUGCAAUCCCAAAAUUUCUAUUAUGUUUCAUUUUAUUGCCAAUGUUUUAUUUUAUCUUUUACUUCAUAAUUUAAUUUUUAUAAGUUUUUGCUUACUCUUAGGGAUUCACUUAAAUGAACUAUGCUUCAAGUUAACAAAACAAACACACAAGUUUUUUUUUUAAAUCGAAGCUUAAUUUAUAUAGACAUACACAAUUUCGGUUAAACCCCUUAUUCUAUAAAAUGUAAUAUUUCUUUCUAUGACUUUUAACUCUCAAAUACCUAUAUAUUUAAAGUGAUAAACUAUUUAAAUCUACUCAUUCCGCGCAUAGCGCGGGUUAUCACCUAGUAUAUAUAUAUUGAAGAAAAAAACAGUGCUCUAUCACUUACACAAGAGACUCCUUCUGUUUUGCCUUCUGUUUCUUUAUCUGUUCAUUUAUGUUAGUAAAAUAGUAAAUAAGUGUGUGUGUGUGUAUUGUUCUCUCUUUUCAGCUAGUGUAAAUGAUAUACAAUAUUCAUAAUACCAUUAGACCUAUAUACAAAUAUGAAUGAUAAAGACAAAUGAUGGAGAAAAUU